UACGGGGGGGAGCAAGCGUUGUUCGGAAUUACUGGGCGUAAAGGGCGCGUAGGCGGUUGGAUAAGUCAGCUGUGAAAACCACGGGCUUAACUCGUGGCCUGCAGUUGAGACUGUCUGGCUUGAGUGUGGGAGAGGAGAGUGGAAUUCCUGGUGUAGCGGUGAAAUGCGUAGAUAUCGAGAGGAACACCUGCGGCGAAGGCGGGUAGCUGGGCCGACACUGACGCUGAUGCGCGAAAGCCAGGGGAGCGAACGGG
rnacentral:rRNA from 1 species